AAGACAGCGCACCAGCGUCUUCUAUGGUCUGACCAAUAGUAUUCUAUGUAUCUAUGGUCUGCAUGUCUGGUAACGUCUCUGGCUGCUGUUGAUCUUGUUCAUGGAGUGAAACACGGUGGAAGCUGAAUUAGUGAGGAUGACUCCUGCUCCUAUCAUCUCUAAGCUCCUCACACAUCUUUACCUGCACAUGAGGAAAAUCACUCCUGUAGAAUGCAGAUGUUCAGAGGGAGAUGAUGCCACAUCUGGUCCAGCUGAUGGAAGGUCUUGAAGUUCUCUGACUGGCCUUGACUGAAGAUGGUCGUCUCACUGGAUUUAAGGUUCAGAUGCUCAGUAACAAACUCCACCAAUAAGCCAACAGGGAAGCUUUAGGUUGAUUAAAUGUUGCUAUGAAGGUUUCACUGUUUUUCUUUGUGGAUGCAAUGUGCUCCAACUGAAACUUGAAUUAGAACUUAGAAGUAAAUCCUUCCAUCUGAAAGCAUUUAGUUGCAUUAAUAACCUCAUAACAUUCUAAUUUUUAUUUCAGUCUUGGUUGGAAAUAGAAUCUCUGUAUUGAUUCAGGUAAAAACUGAACUUCACAGCAUGUUGGAGCAAAACAACCAGAUGAAAACUGUGAUGGUGUUGGAUUGUCAGACCGUAAUGUUGCAGCUCAAAGCAGCUUUUCUAUCUCAGUUCAUUCUGACAUUCAGCUAUGAAUCAACACAGCAGAUGGUGAUCCAUGCUGUGGAAGUCUCACAUCUCCUGAUUUAAUGGAGCUGCUUUGCACUUUUUACACUGUUUAUUCACCAACACUUUAUUUAAUAAAAGUCCCAUCUAGUUUUUAUGAGGAAUGUGAUGUUUUAAUUUCUCUGUGAAUAACUGCAGUCUAAUGCAACAGCUGGAAUUGUAACAUCUGUCCUGAUAUUGAUCAUGAAGUAUUGAUCAGAAUACUUAUGGUCAGCAGUCAUCCCUGAAGUUUUACAUUAAAAUCUUUACUUGUGUUGUGAACUUUGGUAAGAAGCAGAAACGUUAGCGUUGCCAUGGAUACAUGAGUGUUAAAUUCUGUCCAUGUUUCCAUUUUGGGAAAUUCAGUCCAGUUCCAGAAUGUGGAGGAAUUUAGUCUCACAAUCACAGACAACAAAUAUUAUCUGAAAGUUGGGUUAUUGUUGUUUAUCAGCACAAUACAAAAAGAUUAAUGUUAGAAAUAUUCCAGUUAAGACUCUAGAAUAUCAGGAUUUAUGUAAAUUUACCUCAAUAAUAUGAAUGUUCAGGUUAAGAUUGUGCAGUGAUCUUUAUUAUGUAAGUUUAGCUGAUUAAAUUUAUGACUGCAGUACAAUAUUAUUUAUUUAAAUUUACAUCAUUAUAAUAUUUAUGGUCAGACCCUACAGUAUUGAGAUUAAGAAAUCAAAUAUUCUAUAAAAUGUAAAUACACUGAACUCAUUUAGAUACAUUUAAGUGAGACUCUACAAUAUUAUUUGACACAAAUCUAUCUAAAUCAAAAUUUUAAUAAUUUUUACUCCAAACAUUUACUGAUUUAAAUAUUAAAAUCACUCCUUUCUAAUCCUCUGCUGUACGUUCAAACCUGAGGCCUUAAAUAGAAACACACAAGUAUCUGAUUGAAGGAACUUCUGCAGAGUCCUGGUUCCAGAACAUGAUGAUAGAAUUAUAGACAAACUUUAACACAAGCUGCCUGAGAGUUUACAGAUUUUUAUGUUGGAUUUCUUCAGUAAUUUAAUGAGAGUUAUCAGCAAAAAUCAAGUGUUCAUUUGAUGAACUUCAUUUCCUACAACAUACAGAAUUGGAGCUCAUAUCUUUGGCAGCUGUAAAGUUUCUGCUCCUUCAAAGUUCACAACACAAUGAAUUAAUUCCUAAAACACUCUCAAUGCUGGAGAGCGUUUGAUGCUGAAGCAGUGACCAGUUUUUCUGUUUCUUCUCUGGAGAUGCACAAUGAGGGACGUCUGCAGAGACUGAGAAAGAGUCUCACCACAUCCUGACAUGAGGAAAAAGACUUUAUUGAAGACUACAAUGAGAAAAACUAUCAGACAGCAGACGGCUGCAUUCAAGAAGACCAUCAAACAUCCAUGUCAGCUGAUGGAGAUCAAAGAGUCUCACCCAACAAACAACCUACAGAGUGAAGACCUCGAAUCUGAUUGGACGGCCUCCUAUUCAGCCACGUGUGAACAAAUGCCUCUAAGCUGAUUUGUUUUCUACAAUAAAUCUAGUUUGAGUCCUAAUCUA
ensembl:lncRNA